ensembl:lncRNA
CUGAAAGUCACUAAACUUUACUUUUUGUGGAAAGUCACUAAACAAACAGUAACAAUUACAAACCCUGGGGAUUAAGGAGGGAAAGGCUGCUGACUUCAGAAUCAGCCGGAACUUCAGCAGCUCGAACUCUGUACCAGACAGCGUGGCCCAUCGGCUGGAACAACACUGCUACUGGAGCACUUUCUUGAAAGCCUCCACUCGCAUGUCCCAGGACACAGGUGAUCAGCGGGUUACAGGGGCGGCUGCAUGGCGCUGGGGUGGCAAGCGGCCGAGAGGAGCUACCCCAUGUCCAAGGGCAGGAGCGGAGGCUGUGAGGAGCUACUCCAUGUCCAAAGUCAGGAGCAGAGGCCAGGAGGAGAUACCCCACGUCCAAAGUCAGGAGCAGAGGCCAGGAGGAGAUACCCCACGUCCAAGGGCACUGGAAUGCAAAAGUAGGAAGUUAAGAAACACCUAGAGUAACAGGCAAAUUUGACCUUGGAAUACAGAAUGAAGCAGGGCAAAGGCUAAUAGAGUUUUGCCAAGAAAAUGCACUGGUCACAGUAAACCUCUUCCAACAACACAAGAUGACUCUACACAUGGACAUCACCAGAUAGCCAACAC